AGCGAACGCUGGCGGCAGGCCUAACACAUGCAAGUCGAACGGACCCUUCGGGGUUAGUGGCGGACGGGUGAGUAACAUGUGGGAACGUGCCUUUAGGUUCGGAAUAGCUCCUGGAAACGGGUGGUAAUGCCGAAUGUGCCCUUCGGGGGAAAGAUUUAUCGCCUUUAGAGCGGCCCGCGUCUGAUUAGCUAGUUGGUGGGGUAAUGGCCCACCAAGGCUACGAUCAGUAGCUGGUCUGAGAGGAUGACCAGACACAUUGGGACUGAGACACGGCCCAAACUCCUACGGGAGGCAGCAGUGGGGAAUCUUGCGCAAUGGGCGAAAGCUUGACGCAGCCAUGCCGCGUGUAUGAUGAAGGUCUUAGGAUUGUAAAAUACUUUCACCGGUGAAGAUAAUGACUGUAGCCGGAGAAGAAGCCCCGGCUAACUUCGUGCCAGCCGCCGCGGUAAGAC
rnacentral:rRNA from 1 species